UACAGAGGGGGCAAGCGUUGUUCGGAAUUACUGGGCGUAAAGGGCGCGUAGGCGGCCUGCUAAGUCGAACGUGAAAUCCCUGGGCUCAACCCCAGGAACUGCGUCCGAUACUGGUUGGCUUGAAUCCGGGAGAGGGAUGUGGAAUUCCAGGUGUAGCGGUGAAAUGCGCAGAUAUCAGGAGGAACACCUAUGGCGAAGGCAGCUCGCUGGGACGGUAUUGACGCUGAGACGCGAAAGCGUGGGGAGCGAACAGG
rnacentral:rRNA from 1 species